rnacentral:rRNA from 1 species
CAGUCGCCGCGGGAAUACCGAGAGUGCAAGCGUUAAUCGGAUUUACUGGGCGUAAAGGGCGCGUAGGUGGUUAUUUAAGUGAGAUGUGAAAGCCCCGGGCUUAACCUGGGAACUGCAUCUUAUACUGGGUAACUGGAGUGCAGUAGAGGGUAGUGGAAUUUCCGGUGUAGCGGUGAAAUGCGUAGAUACCGGAAGGAACACCAGUGGCGAAGGCGGCUACCUGGACUGAGACUGACACUGAGGCGCGAGAGCGUGGGGAGCAAACAGGAUUAGAUACCCCUGUAGUCCCUGUCUCUUAUAC